GGUGAAAGGGGAGAGGGAGCGAGCGAGAGAAGAGGGGUUGCGCUUGGGCUGCGGUAGUAGCGGUGCCGGCUGGAACGGCCGCACGAGGAGCAGCAGGAGCGGCCGUUCCUCGAACAGGUUUUCGAGGCAGACGGAGAACGACGAAGGUGAUGCUCCUAGCCAAGCUCGGCCCGCGGAGAUGUAGCGCCCUUAGCUCGGGUAGAAGUUGGAGACAAUCGGUGGCAAACUGCGCAGCUAGGCGUGUAGAGGCUGUCGGGGGCCGGAGCGGCUCGGGAAGGGUUCGAGGCAAUGGGGCUCUGGCCACGACGGGGACACUAGCUGAUGCAGCUGCUGCUGGGGAGGAACGGUCUCGUUGGUCUACCACCUCGGGUCCUAGGUCUGCGGUGGAAGCUGCUGUUGACGAUGAUGUGACUCCCACGGAUGGUGAUGCACCUCCGGCGGCUGCUGGUCCUCAUCAAUCCUCCGAGGAUCCGUCCUCCGGAACGGAAAAGCUAGCUACAACGAAAACACGAUCAGAAGAAUUCCGUUUGAACAGAUUGAGUACAGACAUGAGUCUAUUACAACGAAGGCGAUUGAGAACACAUAAGCUCGAAUACAUAAGCUCGGGUACUCCGUGGAC
rnacentral:rRNA from 1 species